GGUGGCUUAAUGGUAAAGUGCUUGCCUAGCAUGCAUGAAGUCCUGGGUUCAAUUCCUCAGUACCA
rnacentral:tRNA from 1 species